rnacentral:lncRNA from 1 species
UGCAACUGUGUGUUUUCCUGGAGUCCUACAGGAGGGAAGGGACAGAUUAUCCAGAAUAUUCCUGAAAUGCAGAGCUUUCCUAUUCAUACUGACAUCUUGUGGCAGUCCGGUAUUACUGCAGCCUGCGUUGCCUGGUGAAUUGAACGUUCAGUUUUACCAAGAUUGAUUUUCCUCUUCCAUGCAGUAAUUGGACCAGAAGCUACUAAACCCCUGGCAGGUGCCAUGCACUGUGCUAAGUACUUGGGGACAUUCAGACAUACUUGUAGAAGAACGGUGGCCGAGACCAUUACCGGAAGCUAUGAUAAUAGCACGACCCUGAUAGAUAGAACUACAAAGAAUCAGCGAGCACCUGUCCUGCGGGUCCUGCGGGUUACCAGGGGCUCAGUACGAUCUCUACUAUCUGCUCUGCACUUAUUUUCCCAGUUAAUCUUCGUGAGGACCCUAUCUGCCCAGCUGGAUUGGAUAAGAGCAGGAUUUUCAUAAUGGGACUGAUUUAAACCACUUCGGGACCUCAGUAUCCCCAACCCUUCUGAGUUUGGGUUUUCUCAUUUGGAAGAUGAAAACAAUAUGUACCCCGAUGAGGACGUCACCAGUAAUGAAGGACCUCGGGAACAACAGGAGGUGAAGUGGGAAAGUACUCAGCGUAUCAGCAUAGUGGCAUCUAGGAAGCUCUCACAAUAAGUUGUAUUGUGUAUGAAACUUCUUUCUUUUCAUAGGAUAUGGUUUUUUAAAGUUCAUUUGGACCCCCUUUUGAACUAUUUCUACCAGCUUGCUACCAGACACUAUUGCUUGAUAGUCAAUGUGUUUGUUGUGCCCAAAUGAAUUGGUGACUUAGACUGUAUCAAAAUUAUCAAUUAAAAAAAAUGAGCAAUUCAUUCAGAAUCCUUGUGCAGCCAAGACAUUGGGUUUUGGUGUUUGCUCCCCGUUGAGCUGAGGGAAACAGUAAUAGUAGUGAGAAUCGUAAUAGCUACAACUUAUAAAGAGCUCACUCUGUACAGG